UACGUAGGGUGCGAGCGUUGUCCGGAAUUAUUGGGCGUAAAGAGCUCGUAGGUGGUUCGGCAAGUCAGUUGUGAAAUCUCCGCGCUCAACGCGGAGGGGUCAGCUGAAACUGCUGUGACUUGAGUCUGGUAGGGGAGUGUGGAAUUCCCGGUGUAGCGGUGAAAUGCGCAGAUAUCGGGAGGAACACCAGUGGCGAAGGCGGCACUCUGGGCCAGUACUGACACUGAGGAGCGAAAGCGUGGGGAGCGAACAGG
rnacentral:rRNA from 1 species